UACGAAGGGGGCUAGCGUUGCUCGGAAUUACUGGGCGUAAAGGGCGCGUAGGCGGAUGUCUAAGUUGGGGGUGAAAGCCCGGGGCUCAACCUCGGAAUAGCCUUCAAUACUGGAUAUCUUGAGUUCGGGAGAGGUGAGUGGAACUGCGAGUGUAGAGGUGAAAUUCGUAGAUAUUCGCAAGAACACCAGUGGCGAAGGCGGCU
rnacentral:rRNA from 1 species